rnacentral:rRNA from 1 species
UACGUAGGGUGCAAGCGUUAAUCGGAAUUACUGGGCGUAAAGCGUGCGCAGGCGGUUUUGUAAGUUUGUCGUGAAAGCCCCGGGCUCAACCUGGGAAUGGCGAUGAAGACUGCAAGGCUUGAAUCUGGCAGAGGGGGGUAGAAUUCCACGUGUAGCAGUGAAAUGCGUAGAGAUGUGGAGGAACACCGAUGGCGAAGGCAGCCCCCUGGGUCAAGAUUGACGCUCAUACACGAAAGCGUGGGGAGCAAACAGG